rnacentral:rRNA from 1 species
AUUCCUACGGGAGGCAGCAGUGGGGAAUAUUGGACAAUGGGCGAAAGCCUGAUCCAGCCAUGCCGCGUGUGUGAAGAAGGUCCUUCGGAUUGUAAAGCACUUUAAGUUGGGAGGAAGGGCAGUAAGUUAAUACCUUGCUGUUUUGACGUUACCGACAGAAUAAGCACCGGCUAACUCUGUGCCAGCAGCCGCGGUAAU